CCAAUAGCGUAUAUUAAAGUUGUUGCAGUUAAAAAGCUCGUAGUUGAAUUUCGGGACCAGUAUGUUGGUCGUGCUUCGGUACGUACUGUCAUUACUGGUUUCUCCCUUCUGAAGAACCUUUAUGUCAUUAAUUUGGUGUCUUGGGGAAUCAGGACUGUUACUUUGAAAAAAUUAGAGUGUUUAAAGCAGGCAUACGCUUGAAUACAUUAGCAUGGAAUAA
rnacentral:rRNA from 1 species